AGUGAACGCUGGCGGUAGGCCUAACACAUGCAAGUCGAACGGCAGCACAGUAAGAGCUUGCUCUUACGGGUGGCGAGUGGCGGACGGGUGAGGAAUACAUCGGAAUCUACUUUUUCGUGGGGGAUAACGUAGGGAAACUUACGCUGAUACCGCAUACGACCUACGGGUGAAAGCAGGGGAUCUUCGGACCUUGCGCGAUUGAAUGAGCCGAUGUCGGAUUAGCUAGUUGGCGGGGUAAAGGCCCACCAAGGCGACGAUCCGUAGCUGGUCUGAGAGGAUGAUCAGCCACACUGGAACUGAGACACGGUCCAGACUCCUACGGGAGGCAGCAGUGGGGAAUAUUGGACAAUGGGCGCAAGCCUGAUCCAGCCAUGCCGCGUGGGUGAAGAAGGCCUUCGGGUUGUAAAGCCCUUUUGUUGGGAAAGAAAAGCAGCAGGUUAAUACCCCGCUGUUCUGACGGUACCCAAAGAAUAAGCACCGGCUAACUUCGUG
rnacentral:rRNA from 1 species